AAUUCAGUUGAUCCAUUGCAAUUACCAAGUCCUCGCUCAUUUGUAUCAACUGUUGUCGUUCCUCCCUUUCGACCCGGAGCUCUUCUUGAAGCGCUUGCAGUUGUAAACGAAGUGUUUCCAAAUCACCUGUCUGUUGUGAUUGUUGUUGCAUUAGUAACUUAUCACUCUUCGCCAUAUCAGCUUUAAAAUUGUUCAAAAAAUCUGACAUAUCUUGGCGCUCUUGAAUGGCUUUCUCCAGCUGUUUUUGGAGAGUCUGAUUGUCUGCUUUCAAUGCUCG